rnacentral:snoRNA from 1 species
AUAUCAUGAUUUGGACACUUCCUCAUCAACUCUUUAAAUUUGUUCCACACCUCGUGAUAGCUCUCCCCAUCUCUCUGCUGGAAAGUUUAAGUUUCUAGUAUGAUUUU